UCCUUAUCAAGAGCCAGGGGAGGAAAUUGGUCCUGUGAUCCUGCGGCAACCUGUUAUUUUCUUAAUUGAAAGUAGUAAGGUGCUAAUUCCAACAGACACACAGUCUGGAAGAUGAGGG
rnacentral:ncRNA from 2 species